rnacentral:rRNA from 1 species
GAUGAACGCUGGCGGCGUGCCUAAUACAUGCAAGUCGAGCGAACAGACGAGGAGCUUGCUCCUCUGACGUUAGCGGCGGACGGGUGAGUAACACGUGGAUAACCUACCUAUAAGACUGGGAUAACUUCGGGAAACCGGAGCUAAUACCGGAUAAUAUAUUGAACCGCAUGGUUCAAUAGUGAAAGACGGUUUUGCUGUCACUUAUAGAUGGAUCCGCGCCGCAUUAGCUAGUUGGUAAGGUAACGGCUUACCAAGGCAACGAUGCGUAGCCGACCUGAGAGGGUGAUCGGCCACACUGGAACUGAGACACGGUCCAGACUCCUACGGGAGGCAGCAGUAGGGAAUCUUCCGCAAUGGGCGAAAGCUUGACGGAGCAACGCCGCGUGGGUGAUGAAGGUCUUCGGAUCGUAAAACUCUGUUAUUAGGGAAGAACAAAUGUGUAAGUAACUAUGCACGUCUUGACGGUACCUAAUCAGAAAGCCACGGCUAACUACGUG